CACGUAGGGCGCAAGCGUUGUCCGGAAUUACUGGGCGUAAAGCGCGUGUAGGUGGUGGGACAAGUCUGCUGUGAAAGCGCCUGGCUUAACCGGGCGAGGUCGGCGGAAACUGUCCGACUCGAGGACGGUAGAGGGGGGUGGAAUUCCCGGUGUAGUGGUGAAAUGCGUAGAGAUCGGGAGGAACACCUGUGGCGAAGGCGGCCCCCUGGGCCGGCCCUGACACUGAGACGCGAAGGCGUGGGGAGCGAACAGG
rnacentral:rRNA from 1 species